GACGUAGGUGGCGAACGUUAUCCGGAAUUAUUGGGCGUAAAGGAUGCGUAGAUGGUGUAGUAAGUUAUCGGUGGCAAAUCGAGGCUCAACCUCGUGGAAGUCGGUAAUACUGCUAUGCUAGAGGAUAGGAGAGGUUAACGGAACUCCCUGUGGAGCGGUGAAAUGCGUAGAUAUAGGGAAGAACACCAAUCAGGCGAAGGCAGUUAACUAUUCUAUUCCUGACAUUGAGGCAUGAAAGCGUGGGGAGCAAACCGG
rnacentral:rRNA from 1 species